rnacentral:misc_RNA from 1 species
GCCAUGAGUUUGUUAUAGAUUCCUUGAUUAUGGUUGCAGGGUUCUUCUAGCUUUGAGAUAGAUUCCUUAUUUUUCGGUUGAAUAUCUAGUUGAAGUUUUCUGGGUUAUCUUUUGUUUUCUUCAUAAGUAAGCUCAUAGUGUCAUUCUGUUUCAACUUGCAUCUGAAAAAUAUGGCUUAGUGGCCUUAAACUGGAGCAGCAACUAUGUAAGUGUGAUUUUCAGUGCUUGACAAAAGAAGUGCUUGCAAGUUUUGCUUGAAAUUGUUAAGAUUUUUUAGUUUUUAAACCAUCCACUUUAGAUUUAAUGAAUAGUCUGUUAAAACCGUUUUUGGGUUGUGUAUCAGCUUGUCUACUCGGUAAUCAUAAUGCUGCAAACUUUUUCUAGAAAAAUGUUUGUUGAUUCAG